UGUGUAAGUUUUCUCAUGAAUUCUAAUUGUAUUUCAACAAGAAAAAAAAAGAUAGGGCAAUAGUUGUGAACUAGUUGAUUAAUUGAUGGAGGAUAUAUACACUCAAUUCUUUACGAUUUAAUUGUAUUAUGAUGGCUUGUGGUCCUAUACCUCUAACUUCUCAUCUUCUUAUGUAUACAUAUAAGUAGUUUUUAUCUUUCUGUCUUUAGUAAGGUUAUUCCAGUGUUACUGCUUGUUUAUUUGCGGCAUUGAUUUUUUAUAUAGGAAAAAUUGAGCUAACUUGAGCGAAAGUUCCAUGGAUGAUUCUCAAAUUUUGCCAAAUGAUUUUUUUGGUAAGGUUUUCGGAAAAGAUCACUCUCUAAGGGUAAGAUGUUUGGGAUUAGGAGUUGUCCCCAGUAAAAAUUUUAAACAAGUAAGACCGAGUUUUGGUGAUGCGUGAUGCAAAUGCUUCAAGUAGUGAAGGAUCAUGUUCGUCCCAAUGCCAAGAGAACCACAAUCAAAUGAUGAACGCUCAUAAUCAAAUGAUGAAUGCUUUUAAGGCGUACAUAUAAUGAAAGAAGGGAUGAUACCAGAACAAUUUGCAGGGUUCUUUGAUUCUCCUUCGAUAAAUUCUUCUACAAUAAUUCCAAGUGAUGCUGCUAGUGAACCAAUUCCGGCUACGCACACAAGAAGAUCAUGCCAUAGUGAUAGUAUUCCUAGCCAUCAAACCAUUGAUUACAUUGUAGUCAACCAAUUCCACCUAUAUUAUUAGCUAAUUAAUUUGAUGACAAGAUUGUGUGAUUGGAAAGAUGUUAAAAUGUUGGAUUAGAUAUUUUGUGUUCAGGUUUUUUUUUGUUUUGAUGAAGAUAUUUGAUGUUAACAAUAUCAUUUUAGUGACAAAUGACAAUGCAAUAUUUUUUGUGAAUUUAUGAUAUGUCGUUCAAGAAUAUAUAUUUCUUGACCUUGAGAAAUUUUUUGGAUUUGAUUGUGAUUUAUAGCUUAAUUACUGAUUCGAUAAAUUAUAUAUAAAUAAAAGUAUAUCAAAUGAAUUUUAGAGCUUAUACGAUUGCCCAGAUCAUUCAACAGAAGCAAUUGCAAAAUUUGUGGAGGUUUUGAACCCCCUCUAUUUCUAACUGAAAAAUAAUAUUUUAAAAAAUAAUUUUAAAUAAGCGUGAGUCGACGUCCACAAAGCAACCCCCGCUAAUUGAUUGUGGGGGUCAAAGAAAAACUGCAGCAAAUUGCUUGCGACAACUCUUAUUAAGAUUUUUUUUACAACUGCCGCAAUACUGUAUUGAGGGGGUUUUAAACACCCACAAACCUUAAAAUUAACCCCUCUAUUUAAGGUUUUUUUGUAGUGUCCUAGAGGUCAAGUACGCCGGUUGCAAUCCGAGAUUGCCCCUAACUUCUAAGGUGUUGUUUUGGGAUGUGACAUGGUGUCCGAUUCACACCUGCUGGCCUAACAAUGUUCAACAACAAAAUAAUCGACUAUAAGCACUGUAAAAUUUGAUAAAAGACUGCAUUAGAUACAAAAACGAGCAUCCGUGUGCUUAUAAAACUGAAGGAAAUCGAAAGGUAAAAACAAGAUUGUUCUAAAAUUUACAAGAAAAAGAAGUAAAAUAUCAAUCCAAUCAGGCACCCUGUGUUUGGAAAGUGCCUAUCUAGGAAUCUAACUCCUCUAGGGAAUAGGAACCAGUCCGGUAACGACCUACCUCAGCUCCUGAAACUGAACGUAAUCAUUAGGCUCCGCUAUGGCAAACUCCUUCUCAAGAGC